GACGAACGCUGGCGGCGUGCUUAACACAUGCAAGUCGAACGGAAAGGCCCUGCUUUGGUGGGGUGCUCGAGUGGCGAACGGGUGAGUAACACGUGAGUAACCUGCCCUUGACUUUGGGAUAACUUCAUGAAACUGGGGCUAAUACCGGAUAGGAGCUCCUGCUGCAUGGUGGGGGUUGGAAAGUUUCGGCGGUUGGGGAUGGACUCGCGGCUUAUCAGCUUGUUGGUUGGGUAGUGGCUUACCAAGGCUUUGACGGGUAGCCGGCCUGAGAGGGUGACCGGCCACAUUGGGCCUGAGAUACGGCCCAGACUCCUACGGGAGGCAGCAGUGGGGAAUAUUGCACAAUGGGCGGAAGCCUGAUGCAGCAACGCCGCGUGCGGGAUGACGGCCUUCGGGUUGUAAACCGCUUUCGCCUGUGACGAAGCGUGAGUGACGGUAAUGGGUAAAGAAGCACCGGCUAACUACGUG
rnacentral:rRNA from 1 species